rnacentral:rRNA from 1 species
GGGUGAGUAACACGUGGGUGAUCUGCCCCUGACUUUGGGAUAAGCCUGGGAAACUGGGUCUAAUACCGAAUAUUCAUUUUUCCUCGCAUGGGGAUUGGUGGAAAGCUUUUGCGGUUGGGGAUGGGCCCGCGGCCUAUCAGCUUGUUGGUGGGGUAAUGGCCUACCAAGGCGACGACGGGUAGCCGACCUGAGAGGGUGAUCGGCCACACUGGGACUGAGACACGGCCCAGACUCCUACGGGAGGCAGCAGUGGGGAAUAUUGCACAAUGGGCGCAAGCCUGAUGCAGCGACGCCGCGUGAGGGAUGACGGCCUUCGGGUUGUAAACCUCUUUCAGCUCCGACGAAGCGCAAGUGACGGUAGGAGCAGAAGAAGCACCGGCCAACUACGUGCCAGCAGCCGCGGUAAUACGUAGGGUGCAAGCGUUGUCCGGAAUUACUGGGCGUAAAGAGCUCGUAGGCGGUUUGUCGCGUCGUCUGUGAAAUUCUGCAGCUUAACUGCAGGCGUGCAGGCGAUACGGGCAGACUUGAGUACUACAGGGGAGACUGGAAUUCCUGGUGUAGCGGUGAAAUGCGCAGAUAUCAGGAGGAACACCGGUGGCGAAGGCGGGUCUCUGGGUAGUAACUGACGCUGAGGAGCGAAAGCGUGGGUAGCGAACAGGAUUAGAUACCCUGGUAGUCCACGCCGUAAACGGUGGGUACUAGGUGUGGGUUUCAUU